AUCACGAGGAGCAGAUAGGACCGAUGCGGACCUGACGGUGCGACAAACUCGCGAAGAGACCAUUGCCGAAAACAGGUCGUUGAUGUGACGAGCGAAAUAAUAGAAGCGGCAAAAUAAUGAAGACAGUGACGAACAGAUGAAGUAUAUACGUAUACAUAUAUAAAUAUGGAUAUAUUCAUAAGAAUACUUUACUUAUAAGAUCCAUGUAAUUUCAGAGUGUAAAAUAAAUGCAAAUUGCAGAACGUAUGUUAUCUCGAAAAUAUGUUGCGAUAUCAUUUAUUAUACAUUAGGUAAUCGCGUGUGAGUCGCAUAAGAACGUAAUUAAAAUGUAUGUUUUUUAUAUGACGUACUUAAGAAUAGUAUAACGUAAAUGUCUUGCAAAUUUAUUAAUGUUGUCGAAUAAAUUCAUUAUUUUUACUGAUUACUAUAAGGAUUCUGCGCGAGAAAGAUUAAUCUAUUAAUUACUAAUAGAAUUAUUGAUAAGUUAGUUAAUUUAAUUUAAACAUUUUAGAUUUAAAUAAGCAUUGUUGUACGCACGAAGAAUUAUUUUCACGAUCAUAAUCAUCGUAUAUUUUGUGUCUGUACAUGCAGAUUUUUGGUGCGCGAAGUCUCAGCAUAAGAACGAAGAUUUUACGUAUACGCUAAAGGCGAUCAUUUUAUGUGUAGAGUAUAUGUAUUGAAUUGCACUUGUGUGUGACUUACACACUAAGAUUAUUGCUCAAGCGUAAGAAUAAUUCUUGAAUAUUAUAUCGAUAAAUAGACGUGUAAAUUUUACUUUUUUAUACGGGCAAGUAAGCGUUUAGUGAUGCACGUGGCGAUAAUUUGGACUGCGCUGUACCAAUUACUGAUUAAGGAGAGAACACGUGAAAUUGUUAUAUUUUUGCAAUAUUUCUGUUGUAACUUCUAUUGUAAUUAUAGAUGAUUGCAGAAGAAUUACGGAACUAUAUCACGGCGAAAAGAGAGAUUGGUGUGUACAUACGUACAUAGUAUAAUGUAAGUACACAUACCUAUGAUUAUAAUUCGAGCGAUGUGCAUAUGUAUCAGUAUCGAUUGCUUGUAUCGACUGUCUCAUUUAUUAUGUAAUUGAUGUCAGUUUUCGUUCAACGUUUCUCAUGUUAUUAUUAGAACGGAAUAGCAACAACUCAGAUCUUUACUGAACGAAAAUAAAACUCAUAUAAAAUAA